rnacentral:tRNA from 1 species
UCCCUGGUGGUCUAGUGAUUAGGACUCAGCACUAUCACUGCUAUGGCCCAGGUUCAAUCCCUGGUCUGGGAA